rnacentral:rRNA from 1 species
UACGUAGGGUGCGAGCGUUAAUCGGAAUUACUGGGCGUAAAGCGUGCGCAGGCGGUAACGCAAGACAGAUGUGAAAUCCCCGGGCUUAACCUGGGAACUGCAUUUGUGACUGCAUUGCUGGAGUGCGGCAGAGGGGGAUGGAAUUCCGCGUGUAGCAGUGAAAUGCGUAGAUAUGCGGAGGAACACCGAUGGCGAAGGCAAUCCCCUGGGCCUGCACUGACGCUCAUGCACGAAAGCGUGGGGAGCAAACAGG